rnacentral:rRNA from 1 species
GGGGAAUUUUGGACAAUGGGCGAAAGCCUGAUCCAGCAAUGCCGCGUGCAGGAUGAAGGCCUUCGGGUUGUAAACUGCUUUUGUACGGAACGAAAAAGCUUCUCCUAAUACGAGAGGCCCAUGACGGUACCGUAAGAAUAAGCACCGGCUAACUACGUGCCAGCAGCCGCGGUAAUACGUAGGGUGAGAGCGUUAAUCGGAAUUACUGGGCGUAAAGCGCACGUAGGCUGCUUUGUAAGUCAGGGGUGAAAUCCCACGGCUCAACCGUGGAACUGCCUUUGAUACUGCUUAGCUUGAAUCCGGGAGAGGGUGGCGGAAUUCCAGGUGUAGGAGUGAAAUCCGUAGAUAUCUGGAGGAACAUCAGUGGCGAAGGCGGCCACCUGGACCGGUAUUGACGCUGAGGUGCGAAAGCGUAGGGAGCAAACA